rnacentral:rRNA from 1 species
ACGGAAGGCAGCAGUGGGGAAUAUUGCACAAUGGGCGCAAGCCUGAUGCAGCGAUGCCGCGUGAGGGAAGAAGGUUUUCGGAUUGUAAACCUCUGUCAACAGGGACGAAAAUGACGGUACCUGUGAAGGAAGCUCCGGCUAACUACGUGCCAGCAGCCGCGGUAAUACGUAGGGGGCAAGCGUUAUCCGGAUUUACUGGGUGUAAAGGGAGCGCAGGCGGUAACGCAAGCCAGAGGUGAAAACCCGGGGCUCAACCCCGAGGAUUGCCUUCGGAACUGUGGAACUGGAGUGCUGGAGGGGCAGGCGGAAUUCCUGGUGUAGCGGUGAAAUGCGUAGAUAUCAGGAGGAACACCGGUGGCGAAGGCGGCCUGCUGGACAGUAACUGACGCUGAGGCUCGAAAGCGUGGGGAGCAAACAGGAUUAGAUACCCUGGUA